AUGCUCACUUUGGCAACAUGCGUACUAAGAUGAGAGUGCUGCAGAGAAGAUGAACAUGGCCCUUCACAAGGACGACAUGCAAAUUCUUGAAACAUUCCAUAUUGAA
ensembl:snRNA U6 U6 spliceosomal RNA